rnacentral:lncRNA from 1 species
CUUAUAUGUGAAAUCUAAAAAAUUAAACUCAGAGAAACAGAGAGUAGAAUAGUGUUGCCAGAGGCUGGGGGUGAGGAAAUGGAGAUAUUUGAUGAAAGGGUAUAAACUCUCAGUUAAAAGAUGAAUGAGGUCUGGGGAUCUAGUGCACAGCCUAAGUGGUGAUGGAUGUGUUGAUUAAUUUCAUUGUGACAAUUAUUACACAGUGUACAUGUGUAUCAAAUAAUCACAUUGCACACCUUGAAUACAUAUAAUCUUUAGUUCUCAAUUAAGUACUUUGAAAUUUAAAAAAAAAGAAAAUAAUAAAAUCUACUAAAUCUUGGUAGUAACAGUGAGAUCCUGUGUCACGUAUGCCACUAUCCACUCCCUCCUUUACCCUUACCCCUAAAGCUCAGCAUGAUAGACGCCCCACUCCAAAGGGGCUCCCUUUCCUCUAAGCUACCAGUCAAGUGGUAAGGUAUUCUCCUGGGAUAAAGAGAUUGCCAACAUUUUUUAUCCUCUCCUAGCUGCAUGUUACGAAGGCUAGUUUCCAGGCAAGUGUGGCCAAGACAUCAGGAACUUCAUUCACCUACCCAGCUCCAAUUUCACUGGUUCUACUCUAGGUACAGAAGGGUAAUAAAACUUGGGCCAAAUUAUCUUAACCCCAAUCUUUUCAUAAGGAGAAUAUUCCAUACUGGAAGAGGCAAGCUGAGAAGACCAGAGGCUACUGCCCCAGCUCAGUGCUCAGUUCAUGAAACAUGGUAUUCCAAGAGAAGUGGGUGAUUUUGCCUGCUGUCAUCUCCAGAGCAGUGGUUCAGAGAUUUUGCCAGAUGAAGAGGCAAGUCAAAAUAACAUAAGAUGCAGAAACUUCCCCCGAAGAAAUUGAAUUUAUUUGGAACAAAGUGCGGGUAGGAAAGAGACAAAUGGAAGCAAAAUAGCAAAAUGGUGAAGAGGAGGGUUCUAGAGGCAGAGAGCCCUGCAGUCCUGAGUCCUGAGUCCACCGUUUAACAGAGUGACUUUGCUCAGCCUGUGGAUUAUAAUGAAACUUGCCUGUUAUAGGAUCCAGUUUUUUAGGUGGUAGCAACAUGCUCAAGGAAGAUGCAGCCCCUUCCUCCAGCCUGAGAGAAUAAAGCAUCAUUGGCUUAUGCCAACCAUGGCAAUCCCAUUCCCCUUUUCUCAUGAUUGAUUUGGGAAUGGGCAAGUGACCCAGUUCUAACCAAUGAGACGAAAGAAAAAGUCUAUUGGUCAGCUUAUCUCAGAAGAUUUUUGUUUCCUGCUAUAAAGAGAAACAGUAAGUUCCUUCCUGCCUGACUUAAAUGCAAUUGUGUGCAAACAUGUUACUUGGAGCUACAGCAACGAUUCUGUGACCAUGAGGCAAUAAGCCAAGGACAAAGGAUAGAAUAGUGAAAAGACAGAGUAUUGGAUUUUUUUUAUGAUAUCAUUGAACUGCUGGACCAAUGUGGAACCAUCUACUUUUAGUCUUUCAUGAUUUGUGAGAUGAUUAAACAUUUCUUUUUUUUAGCCAUUAUUUCUUUUCUGUUACUUGCAACUGAAGACAUCCUACAUAAUACAAACACUAUCCAACUUGGAUUGUAAUUUAUCUAUUUUCAGAUCUGUGUGUUCUGUCUUACUGAUUUUUGUAUUCUUAGCACUGAGUAUAAGGCUGCUACUUAGUAAGACUUCAAUAAAUGACUGUUUAAAAAGG